rnacentral:misc_RNA from 1 species
AAGUCGUAACAAAGUUUCCGUAGGUGACGUCCGAAAGGUUCCCCUGCUGGAGCUUUGGCCCAGCGACUCGAAACAAGUGCUACUCAGGUCGACUUCGGUCGGCAAUGUCACCACCGUGAGCCGGGUCAGUCACCGGCAGCCCCCGUGUUCGCGGGGGGUUCACAGGUCAGAUGGUGCCAGCCGCCCCCCGCGGGGGGCGGUCAGACAUGAUCGGCCCCGGGCGCCUCCACAUGCCCGGGAAUCAAGUGGAACCUGCGGAAGGAUCAUUAAAGAGAGGGGUGUUCGCGUUCCCGGGGGCUUCGGCCCUCCUCUUCACCCCGGUGGUUACCUUACCACAUUCGUUGCUUUGGCAGGCCUUGGGGUCGUGCUCAUGCCGCCCGGGGGUUUCCCUGGGGGCGAGUGCCUGCCGGAAAGGCCCUUUUAAAAUUCUUGAUCGACCAUGUAGUCUGAGUGAAAACAAAAUCAAGCAAAA